AGCGAACGCUGGCGGCAGGCCUAACACAUGCAAGUCGAGCGCCCGUAGCAAUACGGGAGCGGCAGACGGGUGAGUAACACGUGGGAACGUACCCUUCGGUUCGGAAUAACCCAGGGAAACUUGGACUAAUACCGGAUACGUCCGUAAGGAGAAAGAUUUAUCGCCGAAGGAUCGGCCCGCGUCCGAUUAGCUUGUUGGUGGGGUAAUGGCCCACCAAGGCUACGAUCGGUAGCUGGUCUGAGAGGAUGAUCAGCCACACUGGGACUGAGACACGGCCCAGACUCCUACGGGAGGCAGCAGUGGGGAAUAUUGGACAAUGGGCGCAAGCCUGAUCCAGUCAUGCCGCGUGGGUGAUGAAGGCCCUAGGGUUGUAAAGCCCUUUCGGCGGGGAAGAUAAUGACGGUACCCGCAGAAGAAGCCCCGGCUAACUUCGUGCCAGCCGCCGCGGUAA
rnacentral:rRNA from 1 species